rnacentral:rRNA from 1 species
UACAGAGGUCUCAAGCGUUGUUCGGAUUCAUUGGGCGUAAAGGGUGCGUAGGCGGCGCGGUAAGUCGGGUGUGAAAUCUCGGAGCUUAACUCCGAAACUGCAUUCGAUACUGGAUGGCUUGAAUUCGGGAGAGGGAUGCAGAAUUCCAGGUGUAGCGGUGAAAUGCGUAGAUAUCUGGAGGAAUACCGGUGGCGAAGGCGGCAUCCUGGACCGACAUUGACGCUGAGGAGCGAAAAGCUAGGGGAGCAAACGGG